rnacentral:rRNA from 1 species
AGAGUUUGAUCCUGGCUCAGGAUGAACGCUAGCGGGAGGCCUAACACAUGCAAGCCGAGCGGUAUUUGUUCUUCGGAACAGAGAGAGCGGCGUACGGGUGCGGAACACGUGUGCAACCUGCCUUUAUCAGGGGGAUAGCCUUUCGAAAGGAAGAUUAAUACCCCAUAAUAUAAUGAGUGGCAUCACUUAUUAUUGAAAACUCCGGUGGAUAAAGAUGGGCACGCGCAAGAUUAGAUAGUUGGUGAGGUAACGGCUCACCAAGUCAGUGAUCUUUAGGGGGCCUGAGAGGGUGAUCCCCCACACUGGUACUGAGACACGGACCAGACUCCUACGGGAGGCAGCAGUGAGGAAUAUUGGACAAUGGGUUAGCGCCUGAUCCAGCCAUCCCGCGUGAAGGACGACGGCCCUAUGGGUUGUAAACUUCUUUUGUAUAGGGAUAAACCUUUCCACGUGUGGAAAGCUGAAGGUACUAUACGAAUAAGCACCGGCUAACUCCGUGCCAGCAGCCGCGGUAAUACGGAGGGUGCAAGCGUUAUCCGGAUUUAUUGGGUUUAAAGGGUCCGUAGGCGGAUCUGUAAGUCAGUGGUGAAAUCUCACAGCUUAACUGUGAAACUGCCAUUGAUACUGCAGGUCUUGAGUAAGGUAGAAGUAGCUGGAAUAAGUAGUGUAGCGGUGAAAUGCAUAGAUAUUACUUAGAACACCAAUUGCGAAGGCAGGUUACUAUGUCUUAACUGACGCUGAUGGACGAAAGCGUGGGGAGCGAACAGGAUUAGAUACCCUGGUAGUCCACGCCGUAAACGAUGCUAACUCGUUUUUGGGUUUUCGGAUUCAGAGACUAAGCGAAAGUGAUAAGUUAGCCACCUGGGGAGUACGUUCGCAAGAAUGAAACUCAAAGGAAUUGACGGGGGCCCGCACAAGCGGUGGAUUAUGUGGUUUAAUUCGAUGAUACGCGAGGAACCUUACCAAGGCUUAAAUGGGAAUUGAUCGGUUUAGAAAUAGACCUUCCUUCGGGCAAUUUUCAAGGUGCUGCAUGGUUGUCGUCAGCUCGUGCCGUGAGGUGUUAGGUUAAGUCCUGCAACGAGCGCAACCCCUGUCACUAGUUGCCAUCAUUAAGUUGGGGACUCUAGUGAGACUGCCUACGCAAGUAGAGAGGAAGGUGGGGAUGACGUCAAAUCAUCACGGCCCUUACGCCUUGGGCCACACACGUAAUACAAUGGCCGGUACAGAGGGCAGCUACACAGCGAUGUGAUGCAAAUCUCGAAAGCCGGUCUCAGUUCGGAUUGGAGUCUGCAACUCGACUCUAUGAAGCUGGAAUCGCUAGUAAUCGCGCAUCAGCCAUGGCGCGGUGAAUACGUUCCCGGGCCUUGUACACACCGCCCGUCAAGCCAUGGAAGUCUGGGGUACCUGAAGUCGGUGACCGUAAAAGGAGCUGCCUAGGGUAAAACAGGUAACUAGGGCUAAGUCGUAACAAGGUAACC